GCCAAGGGCACAAAGCGACGCUGGGCUAUA
rnacentral:piRNA from 1 species